rnacentral:rRNA from 1 species
UACGGAGGGUGCAAGCGUUAUCCGGAUUUACUGGGUUUAAAGGGUGCGUAGGUGGAUAAUUAAGUCAGUGGUGAAAUCUUCAGGCUUAACCUGGAAACUGCCAUUGAUACUAUUUGUCUUGAAUACUUUUGGAGGUAAGCGGAAAUAUGUCAUGUAGCGGUGAAAUGCUUAGAUAUGACAUAGAACACCAAUUGCGAAGGCAGCUCGUUACACGAAGAUUGACUCUGAGGCACGAAAGCGUGGGGAUCAAAACAGGA